CCGUAUGCUGGAGGCUUGAGACACGGCACAGCGGCGCAGCUCGCCUCGCUAUGUCCUUUAGGUUGUUUGAGGGACAUUCAUCAAGGAAACCGGAGAAACUUAAAACGCUCUUCCGCUUCUUUGGAACAGUCACAGAGAAAAGUGAACUCCUUUCAUUCUUGCAGUAAUUUUUCUUGCUGAUGGGAACAGUUCAAGUCAAGUGACAUGAAGCCAUCAUUCUUUAGAGGGCAAUGACCAAACAGUACCAGCAGAAAUUGAAGUACCAGCAGAAGGCUAAGAAGGGAUCAUGGCACAAGCUGCAGUUUCCACCCUGCCCAUUGAAGAUGAGGAGUCCAUGGAAGAUGAGGAGUCCGUUGAAGAUGAGUCUGUUGAAGAUGCGUCCACAGAGAGCAGGAUGGUGGUGACAUUGCUCGUAUCAGCUCUUGAGUCCAUGGUGAGACCUUCUGUUCUAACAUUCUGUAAUUGGGUAGUACUGGGUGGUAGAUAAGGUUGAUUUGUUUUUGUAGAAUUUAUAAUUUUAUGAUUUAUAGUU
rnacentral:lncRNA from 1 species